ensembl:lncRNA
GGCAGCCUGGAGAUUCAGCCAUUCAUCUCCCUUUUGUCCCUUGCUUUUCUGCGGCGGCGCCCGCUCACGUGGUCGCUCCAAUUACAGGUGCCUCCUGCAGCGCUCAAGGACAACAGGGUCUCCAAACUCGUACUCAAACACCUAGCUUUGCAGGCGGUGGCAGGGGAGGGAAGGAGGAGUCGGAAGUGCCCCAUAGAUGGACAGACAGGCUUCCUGACCCAAGCGCCUCCAGGUGAGAAGCCUGGGACCAGAAGAGCAGCUGGUGGGGAGGCAGAGUGCUUCAUGCACAGGCCCCUGCCCUGCUACUACUGGCCGAGAGUCCCGGAGGCUCUGACCUUCCCUCCGUUCCUCCAAGACAUAGGUCAUUUUCAAGCCACUGAAGCUUUGCACAUGCUAGUCUCUCUGGACCAACCAUCUCUUCUCCGCACCUUAACACUCCCACCCUGGCCUCCUAUCCUCACUCUGAAUGGAUGGUGUAUUCGUCUCUGAGCACAGCGAUAACAAAUUACCACCAAUGGAGAAAUGAUUUGCACCCAAGUCUUUGUCUCAUGGUCUGCUUUGGGGAGCAUGAAAGUCAGUAACCAUAUUGCAAGAGUGUAAGUGAGGACAGAUACAAGAAACAAGGACACUGAUAUGGAAGUGGAGGCAUUUUAAAGCAGCCUUGUAAAUAGCUCCACAUCCACCAGCCCUGGCAAGUUAGGAUCAAAACCAG